GAACUUGUAAUUAGAUGAGUGUCCUCAUCUGGCACAUACUGGCAGGAGGAAACAUAACCCUUGUGCCCACUAAGCAUCUUUGAUCCUGGCAGGUUCCCAUCCUUAUCUGAUGGUGAAUUGAGGUUGAAAAUAGAGCAAACACUAUCAAGACCACCACAAGCAACAAACUGACCAGUUGGAGAGAAGGCACAAGUCAUGACCCAAGCACAAGGCAACUUUAUGGCAUGAGUUUU
rnacentral:misc_RNA from 1 species